rnacentral:rRNA from 1 species
AUUGAACGCUGGCGGCAUGCCUAACACAUGCAAGUCGAACGGAGCGGCUGCCGGGUGAGUAAUGCCUAGGAAUUUGCCCUGUAGCGGGGGAUAACGUCGGGAAACCGGCGCUAAUACCGCAUACUAUUUGAUCAGCCUAGUUCGGUUUAGCUAGUUGGUGGGGUAAUGGCCUACCAAGGCGACGAUCCGUAACUGGUUUGAGAGGAUGACCAGCCAAACGGGAACUGUGACACGGUCAAGACUCCUACGGGAGGCAGCAGUGGGGAAUGUUGGACAAUGGGCGAAAGCCUGAGCCAGCCAUUCCGCGUGUGUGAUGAAGGUCUUCGGAUUGUAAGGCACUUUGAGUUGGAAGGCGUUACCGACAGAAUAAGCACCGGCUAACUUCGUGCCAGCAGCCGCGGUAAUUC